rnacentral:rRNA from 1 species
GUAACGCGUGGGUAACCUGCCUCAUACAGGGGGAUAACAGUUAGAAAUGACUGCUAAUACCGCAUAAGCGCACAGUGCUGCAUGGCACAGUGUGAAAAAACUCCGGUGGUAUGAGAUGGACCCGCGUCUGAUUAGCUAGUUGGUGGGGUAACGGCCUACCAAGGCGACGAUCAGUAGCCGGCCUGAGAGGGUGAACGGCCACAUUGGGACUGAGACACGGCCCAAACUCCUACGGGAGGCAGCAUG